rnacentral:lncRNA from 10 species
UGACAACCCAGAGGCUCUAAGACAGGUGUCCCCAACCCUAGUCUGUGGCUCAUUAGGAACAGGUUGCCCAGCAGGAGGUGAGUGAGUGGUGGGCGAGUGAGCAAAGCUUCAUCUGUGUUUUUACAACCAUCACUCGCAUUACUGCCCGAGCUGUGCCUCCUGUCAGAUCAGCGCAGCAUUAGAUUCUCAUAGGAGUGGGAACUCUAUUGUGAACUGAGCAAGUGAGGGAUCUAGGUUGCAUGCUUCUUAUGAGAAUCUAAUGCCUGAUGAUCUGUCACUGUCUCCUAUCUCAUCUAAUUGCAGGAAAACAAGCUCAGGGCUCCCACUGAUUGUACAUUAUGAGACGGAGUCUUGCUAUGUUGCCCAGGCUGGUCUUGAACUCCUCACCUCAAGCGAUCCUCCCGUCUUGGCCUCCCAAGUGUCAGGAUUACGGGCAUGUGCUAUCACACCCAACCUGAUACAUUGCCUUUAUAAAUUUUUUUUUCUUUAUUCUAAAAACCAGAAAAAACAAAACUGGAUACAUGUGCAGAACAUGCAGACCAAGUGUGUUGGGGACUUGAGAUGCGUACAUGAGUGUGAUGUUUCCUGCUGAAAGCACAGGUGAGACGUGGUCUUGUAACACAGUGGUUAAGAAUGUGACUUUGGAGCCAGCCUGCUAGGGGCUGAAUUCUGACUCAGCCAUUUACUAACUGUGUGACCUUAGGUAAGUCAUUUACCUUCUUUGUCCCUCAGUUUCAUCUCGGUUAAGUAGGGAUAAUGAUAGCACCUAUUUUAUAGGGUUAUUGUGAGGAAUAAAUCCAAGUAAAAUGCUUAGAAUAGUAACUGAAACAUAGCACUCAUUAGGAAUGCUUUAAUUUUCAU